GCUGGGCGUGGUGAUGCCCACCUGUAAUCCCAGCUGCCUUAGGAGGCUAAGACAGGAGGAUCACAAGUUCAAGGCCAGCCUCAGCAACUCACUGAGACCUUGUCUCAA
rnacentral:sRNA from 1 species